AACAUGUCUUUUUGAUUUUAAUUUAAAGUCUAAUCUGCCCACUGAUUUAUUAAAGGGCUGCAGUAAUUUGACUGUACAAAGGUAGCAUAAUCAUUAGCCUUUUAAUUGAAGGCUUGUAUGAAAGAUUUGAUGAAAUAUAAACUGUCUCUAAUUUAAAAUUAAAAUUUAAUUUUUUAGUUAAAAAGCUAAAAUAAUUUUAAAAGACGAGAAGACCCUAUAGAGUUUUAUAAUUAAUAAUUUUAAAUAAUUAUAUAAAAUUUUAAUAUUUAAUAUUAUUCAUUAUUUUAUUGGGGUGAUAAAAAAAUUUAAUUAACUUUUUUUCUUGUUUAUCAAAAAUAAAUGAUUAAUUGAUCCUGUUUAAAGAUUAAAAGAAAUAAUUACCUUAGGGAUAACAGCGUAAUAUUUUUUUUUAGUACAAAUAAAAAAAAAAGUUUGCGACCUCGAUGUUGGAUUAAGAUAAAAUUUAAAUGCAAAAGUUUAAAAUUUUGAUCUGUUCGAUCAUUAAAAUCUUACAUGA
rnacentral:rRNA from 1 species